CUGAAAUACUACUGUUUCCUGUAGUG
rnacentral:misc_RNA from 1 species